GCUGGGAUUACAGGUGCCUGCCAUCACACCUGGCUAAUUUUUGUAUUUUUAGUAGAGACGGGGUUUCACCAUGUUGGCCAGGCUGGUCUCAAACUCCUGACCUUGUGAUCUGCCCACCUAGACCUCUCAAAGUGUUGUGAUUACAGGCGUGAGCCACAGCGCCCACCCUACAGAGAGGAAAUUUUAAGGAAAUGUCUGCUUUGAAUACUCAAUAAAAUAUAAGACAAAACCAAAAAUGAUACAGUGUGCUGAAAUUCUGACAGCAAUGAUAAAAGAAUUUUCAAGGAACUGAAAUCCAGUGACAAAAAUGAAAUCGAUCAAGGCUGUAGUUGCACACCUGAGACAUUCCUCGAGAAGGCAGAGGAGAAAGGUGUGAAAAACAGUGAACCAGAGAAGGAUGGCCAGGGACAACAAAGAUUGGAGCUCGGAAGUUGAAUGACAGAUAUUCUGGAGAAACACACCAGAGAUGACAAAAGGGUUUGUCAAACACAGCCCAACUCAACUGGAGUCCUGAGAAGGUGACCAGACCAGGAUGGAGGCCCAGGGAACUCACCAGAAGUCCCCAUGCAUCAGAACAAGGUCGAAGCAUCCUGGUGAGUAGAUAACACGUGCCCAUGCUUUGUGGGAGGAAGUCCUCCAGCAGUUUCUCUCCUUCCCCUUGGCUUUGACUCAGCCUACCUGGGAUUAUGCAGUUGGUUCUCCACUCCAGAUGCCUCAGGGAGGUGACCCUUCCUGUUCUGGGUUCUGCAGAAACCAACAGCUCUGGGCUUGUGCCCAUCAAGCACUCUUCUGCCCAUUUUAUACUCUUGUGGACGCAUGGUGGUGUUGAUACAAGCCCCGAAUUAAAGGAUCCAUGGCUGCCCGUGACAAGACAAAGCAAAAGCAGGCCAGAGUUAAACAGGCCCCUUGGGUCCCUUCCUUCAUUUCAUAAAUGGGAAAAUCAAGGUCUGGGCAGGGAAAGGGACUCAGCCAAGGCCACAUACACAGCACACUGAUGGCCGAGCCGGGGUUAGGACUCCCAGCAUACCCUGUAGACUUCUCUAAUAAUAGAUAGGCUGCUUGGUUUUUCUUUAUUAAGGGUUGGUUACACAUUAUCUCUCUCUGUCUUUCUUAAAACAAUUAUUCUUUAAUAUCUUUAUAUAUUCAGUAAGUGUUCAAAUUUCCAACUAUUUUAUGUCAAAAAGCAUUUUCUAACAUUUUUAUUAAAUCAAGAUCCAAACAAGAUGCACACAA
rnacentral:lncRNA from 1 species